UCCAGUGCUGACUGGACAAG
rnacentral:misc_RNA from 1 species